ACGAACGCUGGCGGCGUGCUUAACACAUGCAAGUCGAACGGAAAGGCCCCUUUGGGGGUACUCGAGUGGCGAACGGGUGGGUAACACGUGAGUAACCUGCCCUUGACUUCGGGAUAACUUCAGGAAACUGGGGCUAAUACCGGAUAGGAAUCCUUGCUGCAUGGUGGGGGUUGGAAAGCUUCGGCGGUUUUGGAUGGACUCGCGGCUUAUCAGCUUGUUGGUGGGGUAGUGGCUUACCAAGGCUUUGACGGGUAGCCGGCCUGAGAGGGCGACCGGCCACAUUGGGACUGAGAUACGGCCCAGACUCCUACGGGAGGCAGCAGUGGGGAAUAUUGCACAAUGGGCGGAAGCCUGAUGCAGCAACGCCGCGUGCGGGAUGACGGCCUUCGGGUUGUAAACCGCUUUCAGCAGGGGCGAAGCUUGUGGUGACGGUACCUGCAGAAGAAGCACCGGCUAACUACGUG
rnacentral:rRNA from 1 species